UUCCCUUAGUUCCUAUGGGAGCUAUCGGGAAAAUUUUAACGGUUUUGUCUUAGUUUCGUCGUUGUGAAUCCAACGAGACCACCCGCAAGGUCGUAGCUUUUCUAAUAGCUGAGAUAUGGCAUUUUUGAUGCCCAUUUUUGGCCUCAAAAACGGACGUCGAAAACGACUUUUUCAGGAUUUUCAAAGUGCUCUCAUUCCCUUAGUUCUGCUCGGAUCCUGUUAUAACCCGAUGUUUUCGUAAUCUAGGUGACCCAAAUAAGACGCUGGUAUACUUAGUUUGAUUUCGACAAAAAUCAAUUUUUGGUGAAAAAAUUCGAUACGGGAAGGUAUACCCGAAAAAUGAAAAAACCCAAACUUUGAAGGUCGAUAUCUCGGCUUCUAUGGGAGCUAUCGGGAAAAUUUUAACGGUUUUGUCUUAGUUUCGUCGUUGUGAAUCCAACGAAACCACCCGCAAGGUCCUAGCUUUUCUAGUAGCUGAGAUAUGGCAUUUUUGAUGCCCAUUUUUGGCCUCAAAAACGGACGUCGAAAACGACUUUUUCAGGAUUUUCAAAGUGCUCUCAUUCCCUUAGUUCUGCUCGGAUCCUGUUAUAACCCGGUGUUUUCGUAAUCUAGGUGACCCAAAUAAGACGCUGGUAUACUUAGUUUGAUUUCGACAAAAAUCAAUUUUUGGUGAAAAAAUUCGAUACGGGGGGGUAUACCCGAAAAAUGAAAAAACCCAAACUUUGAAGGUCGAUAUCUCGGCUUCUAUGGGAGCUAUCGGGAAAAUUUUAACGGUUUUGUCUUAGUUUCGUCGUUGUGAAUCCAACGAGACCACCCGCAAGGUCCUAGCUUUUCUAAUAGCUGAGAUAUGGCAUUUUUGAUGCCCAUUUUUGGCCUCAAAAACGGACGUCGAAAACGACUUUUUCAGGAUUUUCAAAGUGCUCUCAUUCCCUUAGUUCUGCUCGGAUCCUGUUAUAACCCGGUGUUUUCGUAAUCUAGGUGACCCAAAUAAGACGCUGGUAUACUUAGUUUGAUUUCGACAAAAAUCAAUUUUUGGUGAAAAAAUUCGA
rnacentral:lncRNA from 1 species